rnacentral:rRNA from 1 species
UACGGAGGAUCCGAGCGUUGUCCGGAUUGACUGGGCGUAAAGCGCACGCAGGCAGAUGCGCGCGUGGGGUGUGAAAUCUGGCCGCUUAACGGCCAGGCGCCAUCCCAUACGGCGCGUCUGGAGUGAUGCAGAGGUCGGGUGGAAUUGCCGGUGUAGUGGUGAAAUGCGUAGAGAUCGGCAGGAACACCCAGGGGGAACCAGCCGAC